CGUCAGCGGCCGCGCAUGCGCGCAGCGGCCCAGGAGGCGGCGGCGAAGAUGGCGGCGGCGGAGCGCGGGGCCAGCGGGGGCGGCCCGGGCAGCCCCUCGCUGUCGGCGGGGGAGGAGGAGCCGCCGCUGGGGCUCGACGCGCUGGUCGAGGAGGCGGCGGCGGCUCCGAGCGCGGGGUUCCGGCUGACGGCGGUGCGGCGGGAGCCGGCGGUGCGGCUGCAGCACGGAGUUAGCGGGCUGGAGCCGCUGGCCUGGUCGGAGGAUCACCGGGUGUCGGUGAGCACGGCCCGCAGCAUCGCCGUCCUGGAGCAGCUCAGCGACGUGCACAGCGGCGGCCAGGAGAUGGUGAUCCACCGCACGGCCGUGCCCGCGCCCGCCGCCGCCUGUCACCUCAAGGUUGGUCCAAAAAAGGAGGUAGCAGAAUGUAGAGAAAAGUUUGCAAAUUCAGUGGAUCCAACCGUCAGUCAAACUUUUAUGCUGGACCGAGUCUUCAAUCCCGAGGGGAAGUCGCUGCCGCCCAUGCGAGGAUUCAAGUAUUCCAGCUGGUCACCGCUGGGCUGCGACGCCAACGGGAGGUGCCUUCUGGCAGCUUUAACCAUGGACAAUCGAUUGACCAUCCACGCAAACCUCAACAGGCUGCAGUGGGUGCAGCUGGUGGACCUGACGGAAAUCUACGGGGAGCGUUUAUAUGAAGCCAGCUACACACUCACCAAAGCUGACACUCCCAGGGGAGAGCUAGGAGACUUCUCCGAAUUUCAGCGCCGGCACAGCAUGCAGACCCCGGUGCGCAUGGAGUGGUCGGGCAUCUGCACCACUCAGCAGGUCAAACACAACAACGAAUGCUGGGAUGUCGGCAGCGUGCUCUUGGCAGUCGUCUUUGAAAACGGUAACAUUGCCGUUUGGCAAUUUCAGCUUCCGUUUCUGGGGAAGGAAUCGAUUACUUCUUGCAAUACCAUAGAGUCUGGAAUAAGUUCCCCUAGUGUGUUGUCUUGGUGGGAAUAUGAACAUAACAACCGAAAGAUGAGCGGACUUAUCGUAGGGAGUGCUUUUGGACCUGUUAAGAUCCUCCCUGUCAAUCUAAAAGCCGUCAAAGGCUACUUUACGCUGAGACAGCCCGUAGUCUUGUGGCAAGAAAUGGACCAGUUACCCGUGCAUAGCAUCAAAUGUAUUCCUCUUUACCACCCCUACCAGAAAUGUAGUUGCAGCUUGGUGGUGGCUGCACGAGGACCUUACGUGUUCUGGUGUCUCCUGUUGAUAUCCAAAGCGGGUCUCAACGUCCAUAAUUCCCACGUGACGGGGCUUCAUUCUUUGCCGAUCGUAUCCAUGACGGCGGACAAGCAGAACGGCACGGUGUACACGUGCUCCAGCGAUGGAAAGGUAAGGCAGCUGAUUCCCAUAUUCACGGACGUUGCUUUAAAGUUUGAGCACCAGCUGAUUAAGGUCUCGGAGGUGUUUGGCUCUGUCAGGACUCACGGAAUAGCUGUUAGCCCGUGCGGUGCGUACUUGGCGGUUAUUACAACAGAGGGCAUGACUAACGGCCUUCACCCAGUUAACAAAAACUACCAAGUCCAGUUUGUAACCCUUAAGACUUUUGAGGAGGCAGCUGCGCAGCUCUUGGAAUCUUCUGUUCAGAACCUUUUCCGGCAAGUGGAUUUGACAGAUCUUGUACGCUGGAAAAUUUUGAAGGAUAAGCAUAUUCCUCAAUUCCUCCAGGAAGCGCUGGAUAAAAAGAUUGAGAGCUGCGGUUCUACUUACUUCUGGCGGUUUAAGCUGUUUCUCCUGAGGAUUUUGUACCAGUCAAUGCAGAAAGCUCCCUCAGAGGUCAUGUGGAGACCUUCACACGAGGAGGCAAAAAUCUUGAUAUCGGACUCCCCUGGGAUGGGCAGCACUGAAGACGAUCAAGAGGAAGGAACUUCUAAACAAGCCAGUAAGCAGAGCGCGUGUGACGCGGGCAAAGGUAUGGACAUAGAUGACACUGCAGACGAUUCUCUUCCUCCGUCAAGUGACAUAGGAGGCCGCGAGCCAAUGGAAGAAAAGCUGCUCGAAAUACAGGCACAAAUUGACGCAGUAGAAAUGCACUUGACACGAGAACACAUGAAACGGGUGUUGGGAGAAGUUUAUCUACACACAUGGAUUACGGAAAACACCAGUAUUCCCACCAGAGGAGUCUGUGACUUCUUAAUGUCUGAUGAUGGCUACGAUGACAGAACAGCACGAGUGCUGAUCGGGCAUAUCCUCAAGAAAAUGAACAAACAGACUUUUCCAGAGCACUGCAGCUUGUGUAAAGAGAUCCUGCCCUUCACCGAUCGCAAACAGGCAGUCUGCUCCAAUGGACAUAUUUGGCUCAGGUGCUUUCUAACCUACCAGUCCUGUCAGAGUCUGGUGUACAGGAGGUGUUUGCUUCACGACAGCAUCGCGCGACAUCCGACCCCAGAAGAUCCUGAAUGGAUCAAGAGGUUGUUGCAAGGACCUUGCACAUUCUGUGAUUCUCCUGUGUUCUAGAGAUGAGCUAUGAAAAGACUCAAAGUAUUUUGUGUACUGCAUGGGCUCCCUUCAGUCUGGAAGGAUAUUGAGCGCAGGAAUACAGACUUUACUGGAGGGGGAAGGCAUUGUCCAUGACCCUGUAAAUAACAUAUCAGAGGUUCUAGAAGCUCCUUAAAUCCAGAGCCUGUUCCAUGCUCCAGAAACAGGAGUACACCUGGAAAAGCAAGUUUAUAAAGGGUUUGGAAAUGCACCUGAUUGAAGCAUCAGCAACAGGACACGCUUCCUUUCACUGACAAGGCACUGAAGUCUUAAGUGCGUGGGGUGAACUGUCCUUUCUGCCCCACAAACGUGAGGUUUCCCCAGAGCUAGGACGGGAACAGAGGAGCUGCCUCUUGAAUGGUCUUGGCAGUAGAUACUCAAUAUACCAUUGCCACUUUAUUUAACCUGAUUUAUGACUGCUGGAAGAAUGGGAUUUUAAAGCCAACGAUGUCGGCUUUGUCUGCAUGCCAGUGGAGAUCCUUUAGCGCAAAGCUUUCCCUUCUCACCCUGACCCAUUCACAACAGGUAAAGAGGUAUUGUGAUUUCAUUUUUCCUUCAAAAAACCUUCAAUCUGUCCUGGCCUUGGCACUCGCAGUGUGGGACUGUGGAGCUCAGGCCCGUUCCUGCCGGGGUCUGUAACAACCCACAGGGCUGCAGCUGCCCCUUGGUGCAUUAUCCCUCACGUUGUCCUAAUCAAACCCGUGUUUCACCCCACGCAGGGAAGGCGGGUGGGUGAGGAAGGUACGAGCACCUGCUGCCAGAUCCUCACAUUAUUUUGCCAUUAACAGAGCUCCCUUCUCAAACUAACACACUGUCAACCUAUCCAAUAUUUGGCUUAGCCUGUCUUGCAAUAUGAAGCAUGCAAAGACUAAAUCAUGCAAAAUCAGAGUUCAUCUUGCUAAGUUUUUGCCCUAAGUUUUGUAAGAUGUUUCAAACAAGUGUUCCUCCUCAGCUGCAGUUGGUGGUGAGUUCUGGCUGUUUAUGGUGCCUCAGCUCCAGAGGAAGCAGCACUUACUGCCGUAUUUGCUGUUGCAUUUGAGAAUUAACAGCCAGAGAGGCCGUCUUCUGUGGCUGGAGCUAAUGCGUCAUUAUCUUUGAUAAGCAGCUUCUGGUAUUAGAGCAUUUAAGAUGUACUGCUUGUGCUGCUAACAAGAGUUUAUCCCUCCCCCCUGGGAUGAGAAACUCCAAGCUAGUCCAGGUGGAAGGAUCAGCAGAACAGCUCUGGGCUGUUCAGCUUCUUAGUGCCCAGGUGCUGGUGCCAGUGUUGGAACUGAAGUGACAGUUUGGGGGCACCAGGACUCUGUCUUGGGUCUCCAACAUACACUUGCUCUGGAACGGGUGACAGUGGAACUCGUUGCUGCCUUUUACCCCAGUUUAGCCCCCACGGACUUUGUUGUUCAAUCAUCCUUUCCAUUUGCUUUUUCCCCCAUCCUAUUAAUCCCAUUGUAUAUUUCUAGAGAAGAAAAAUGAUGGUUGCUAAUACAUACAUACAGGCAAUAAAUAGUUCCCUGAUUUUCUUAAACUUGCCAGGUUUUCCACUGGCUAAUGUAUCAUCAGUGAUUACGAGCAGCAUAACACCAUUUAUUCUAUCCUCAUUAAGGGUUUCUUGACAUAAAAGAACUGAACGCAAACAUUUAUUGCCCUAGUUAAAGGUGAACAAAUCACACUUGUGCUGUUAUACCCUAAACUAACAUUUACAGGAGACUUGUUUGUACAAGUUUAAUUUCUCAGAUACAAAGCCCACCCUUUAUUACUUGGCCACCGCUUCACAAACUGGGUGGCCUUGCAGGCACAAUUGCUACCAGAGUGGGAAGGGUUUAUUCUUUAACCAGAACCAGUACAAAUGUCUGUGUGGAGAUAGUUUAUAGCUCUGCUGGUAAAUACCAGGUUGGAAAGCUGUUCUUCUUUCCCCUCUCUGUGGGUGAACAAGGACAACUUGAGCCUGGCUCUUCAUCUGGAGUCCUGUCCUACCUGUUGAAGGUGCAGAAAUCUCAACAAGACAGAGUUGAGCCUUCUCUUGGAAGUCUCAAUCCAGGGUGCACACAUUGGUGUGUGUGCACAGCAAUGCCCACAGGGCUCGUUUUCACUUCUAACAGAGGAGGACCUUGAUACACACGCUUAAAUUUCCAUCUGUGCUGACCUUUGGCUGCACUCAGUUCUAACUCAUACUUUACACUAGAGACGUUCCCAGGCCCCUUGGUGUCAGUAGAAAUAUUCUUAUCCUGUCACUAUUUUUUUAAUGUUAACGCAGUUUUUAAAAGACCUGAACUCUUGCUGCUCUGUGAUGGUCUGAGUGGUGACCUCAGGAGUGUCACAGCUGCCUGUGCACGACUCUUUUCCCUGUUGCAACACAGCUGGUACACAAGCCACUAAGAAGCAUUAACUACACUGCAUUUUAAGGCAGAAAGUGGAGUAAUUCCCUGUGCUGUCCUAGGCUGUGGCUGAAUCAACCCAAAAGUGAAUGUCCCUCUUGAAGCACCGUCAACCCAGGAGGACUGGGGCACCACGGGAGCCCACAGAGGAGUUACAGGGCCGGCCGGCCCCACCACGUUCCUAUUUAACACGAAACUCAAGAGGCCAGCCCUGAAAAGGGAAAACCCAGGAGCCGUUCAAAUGGAACUGCUCAGAGGGGAGUUUUAUUUGAUUGCUCCACUAAUCUAAUUGAUUGUGCAACUUUAAUUCUGUUCUGGGGUACAAGUGUAGCUGACCGAGCACACGGUCCCCAGGCUGAACAAAGUGCAAAGGUGAGUUUGACUUUUAGUUUCUGGACUUUUUCCUUUGAGCCUUAGUUCAUGGGAGGGUCUGACAGAGUUGCUGUAAGUAUUGAUGCUGUGUAUAUGACACGUUUUGUAAAAUGGAUUAAUGUUUUGUAUACUUUGACAGUAGCAUUGUAAUCCUGCUCUUUUUUUAUUCUAAAUAAAUAAAUAAAGUACUUGCUUGUAA